CACUCCUACGGGAGGCAGCAGUGGGGAAUUUUGGACAAUGGGCGAAAGCCUGAUCCAGCAAUGCCGCGUGAGUGAAGAAGGCCUUCGGGUUGUAAAGCUCUUUUGUCAGGGAAGAAACGGUGAGAGCUAAUAUCUCUUGCUAAUGACGGUACCUGAAGAAUAAGCACCGGCUAACUACGUGCCAGCAGCCGCGGUAAUACGUAGGGUGCAAGCGUUAAUCGGAAUUACUGGGCGUAAAGCGUGCGCAGGCGGUUUUGUAAGUCUGAUGUGAAAUCCCCGGGCUCAACCUGGGAAUUGCAUUGGAGACUGCAAGGCUAGAAUCUGGCAGAGGGGGGUAGAAUUCCACGUGUAGCAGUGAAAUGCGUAGAUAUGUGGAGGAACACCGAUGGCGAAGGCAGCCCCCUGGGUCAAGAUUGACGCUCAUGCACGAAAGCGUGGGGAGCAAACAGGAUUAGAAACCCGGGUAGUCCC
rnacentral:rRNA from 1 species